UAAGUAACUGAGAGGUAGACAGACAGACGGAGGGGCGGACGGACAACGACAAAAACAUUAUUGCAGCGAGGCGGACGGCGAUUAAAGUCCUAGAAGGCAUCUCAGACCCUGCAGUACAGAUGGCCUGACCAAAAAACUCCACCGAUCCCGGAAGGUGGAGCGUGCGCAGUGAGAGUGUGGGGAAAGAUUUAAUGAGCGCAGGCGCUGCAACAGCAGCGAGUUACGGGUGAGCAGGGACUAGCGACGAGCAUAAGCAGUGUACGGCGUGGCAUUCACCAAGAAGGGAGUGCAAGUUACAGUACUCGAGAGACUCUCGGCAGCAGCUCGGCAACAUGGCGGAUGAGACGGGGGAGAAAAUGCCUAUGAAGUGGCCAGACAUUCUGGUAGUUGUCUUGUACUUCGUCUUCGUCCUGGCUGUUGGCCUUUUCUCGUCAUGGCGGUCCAAGCGAAGCAGCAUGUCGGGCUACUUCCUGGCGUCCCGCAACAUGCACUGGAUCCCUGUGGGCGCUUCGCUCUUCGCCAGCAACAUCGGGUCGGGUCACUUUAUCGGACUGGCGGGCUCCGGGGCAGCAACUGGGAUUGGCAUUGCUUCCUUUGAGCUGAAUGUGAGUCUUCAUGUGUGUGUGUGUGUG